GUGAAUUUGUAGCCUCCAAGGCUCACAUUCUCUAUCCUUUACACACCUGUGCACCCUUCUGAAGCGGAGAGUUAUUAGGCGUUAGCCGAGCGCCUCCCUUCGGUUAUUAUGUCAAACUCUUAACUACGUUUACUAGAAUGUGUUAUCGUCUUGUUGUAACGACAAGUACAAUCCAGUA
rnacentral:misc_RNA from 1 species